CACGUAGGGCGCAAGCGUUUGUCCGGAAUUAUUGGGCGUAAAGAGCUCGUAGGCGGUCUGUUGCGUCCGCUGUGAAAACUCGGGGCUUAACCCCGAGCCUGCAGUGGAUACGGGCAGACUAGAGGUAGGUAGGGGAGAAUGGAAUUCCCGGUGUAGCGGUGAAAUGCGCAGAUAUCGGGAGGAACACCGGUGGCGAAGGCGGUUCUCUGGGCCUUACCUGACGCUGAGGAGCGAAAGCGU
rnacentral:rRNA from 1 species